GAAAGGCGCUUUUGCGUCACUGAUGGAUGGACCCGCGGUGCAUUAGCUAGUUGGUGAGGUAACGACUCACCAAGGCCACGAUGCAUAGCCGACCUGAGAGGGUGAUCGGCCACACUGGGACUGAGACACCGCCCAGACUCCUACGGGAGGCAGCAGUAGGGAAUCUUCGGCAAUGGACGAAAGUCUGACCGAGCAACGCCGCGUGAGUGAAGAAGGUUUUCGGAUCGUAAAACUCUGUUGUUAGAGAAGAACAAGGAUGAGAGUAGAACGUUCAUCCCUUGACGGUAUCUAACCAGAAAGCCACGGCUAACUACGUGCCAGCAGCCGCGGUAAUACGUAGGUGGCAAGCGUUGUCCGGAUUUAUUGGGCGUAAAGCGAGCGCAGGCGGUUUCUUAAGUCUGAUGUGAAAGCCCCCGGCUCAACCGGGGAGGGUCAUUGGAAACUGGGAGACUUGAGUGCAGAAGAGGAGAGUGGAAUUCCAUGUGUAGCGGUGAAAUGCGUAGAUAUAUGGAGGAACACCAGUGGCGAAGGCGGCUCUCUGGUCUGUAACUGACGCCGAGGCUCGAAAGCGUGGGGAGCGAACAGGAUUAGAUACCCUGGUAGUCCACGCCGUAAACGAUGAGUGCUAAGUGUUGGAGGGUUUCCGCCCUUCA
rnacentral:rRNA from 1 species